rnacentral:misc_RNA from 1 species
GAGUGGUGUUUGGUUUGUUACGUGUGGUUGGCUGCGGCGUUUGCAACAACUUCCAUGCUCUCAGACCUCUUCAGUUGUGCGGCAAGGCUUGUAUCGCCUUGAGCGUAUCGUGGGUUUUCUGUGUUGGCUACCUAAUCGACGGUAUCGUUUGGACUGAUCAAAGUGUGAUUUCGUCUUCCGUCGCGUUUGCGGCGUGAGGUGAACCUUGACGCGGUCUCUUUGAUCCAUCUCGUCGAAGCAUAUGCUUUGACGUUGUGGCACAUUGGGCAUUGCUUGGUCUCUUGUGUACGGAACAUGUAGCGGGCAUGGAUCUAACGAUUCUUGUUUGCCCUCAUAUUAGCGUAACGCUUCUCGAACACGACUUGCAUCGCGUUUAGCUCGUAC